rnacentral:rRNA from 1 species
ACGGAAGGCAGCAGUGGGGAAUAUUGCACAAUGGGGGAAACCCUGAUGCAGCGACGCCGCGUGAGUGAAGAGGUAUUUCGGUAUGUAAAGCUCUAUCAGCAAGGAAGAAAGUGACGGUACUUGACUAAGAAGCCCCGGCUAACUACGUGCCAGCAGCCGCGGUAAUACGUAGGGGGCAAGCGUUAUCCGGAUUUACUGGGUGUAAAGGGCGCGUAGGCGGGGCGGCAAGUCAGAUGUGAAAUCCAUGGGCUCAACUCAUGAACUGCAUUUGAAACUGUCGUUCUUGAGUGUCGGAGAGGCAAGCGGAAUUCCUAGUGUAGCGGUGAAAUGCGUAGAUAUUAGGAGGAACACCAGUGGCGAAGGCGGCUUGCUGGACGAUAACUGACGCUGAGGCGCGAAAGCGUGGGGAGCAAACAGGAUUAGAUACCCUGGUA